rnacentral:lncRNA from 1 species
UCUAAAAAAAUUUUAAGUGACUAUGAAAGAAGAACAAAUCUUGUAUUUUCCUCUUCUAAUUUCAGAUACACCCUCCACACCUUCCUGGACCAGUUUUGCCUCCGGUUCAACAUAUGCAGUAGUGAUCUAUUUUUGCUUAUGUGUAUGUGAAGCUAUUAGUUACAGAGUGAAUAGGAAAGUAACUUGAAGUCUAGAAGAAGACUGCUAUCAACAGGGUAUAACUGAUGUGUAUCGCUGUUGCUGUAAAGGACAUUUUGUUUUGUGUUUAUUAUUAAAAGGUCAUAGUGAAGGCAGCAUUAGCAGAAAAAGUUCUUACUGCCUGUCAUUGAACAUUCCCCAGUGGUAGAGUUUUUAAACAAUGGUGUGGUAUCAACUGUUGUGUGAAAUUAACUCUCAUCUCUUUUGUACAAGAUAUCAUCACAUGGUCUCUCUCUCUCUCUCUCUCUCUCUCUCUCUCUCUCUCUCUCUCUCUCAAUGGAUCCAAAUCAAAUCAUAAAAGAUAUUUAAAAACAGAGGUCUAGUUGGGUAGUGGUGGCACAUGCCUUUAAUCCCAGCACUCCAGAGACAGAGAGAGGCAAAUCUCUGAGUUUGAGGCCAGCCUGGUCUACAGAGCAAGUUCUAGGACAGCCAGGGCUACACAAAGAAAUCCUAUCUCAAAACAAAACAAAGCAAAACAAAUAACAAAAAGCAAAAACCAAACAAACAAAGACAAAAAACCAAACCAAACAAAAACACACACAAAAACACUAGGGGUCUAGGUCUUACCUUGGGUCUCUCAGACUAUGGCUCUUUCAUUUUAGUCAGAAAGGAAUUAAGGUAAAUGAAAUCAGGCUUCUUAUGUCCUAUUUAUAGGGAAGUUGAGACAUUACUGGAAAUCAGAAAACAGCAUGUUCACAAGGCUUGGAAACACUGUCUUAAAAACAAUCCCAAACUGGGCGGUUGGUGAUACAUGCAGGCAGAUAGAUAUCCGUGAGUUCAAGGCUGGCCUGGAUUACAAAGUGAGUUCCAGGACAGCCAAGACUGUUACAUAGAGACUUUGUCUCGAAAAACCAAACCAAACAAACAAAACAAACAAAAUCAACCAUAACCCCAGUGUAGGGUGUGGUUGUGGGAAUGAUAGAAGAUGAAGGGGGAGCAGCCACAAAUUAGAGUUUUGUCUUCAUUUUGUGUGUGCAUGUGUGUAUGUU